UUUGUAUAAUAUUUUGUCUCGGUAAAAUCAAAAUAACUUUGGACACAUGCGAUACGUUAGUAUCCCUGGCUCCCACUCUAAAGUUGAUCUGUCGAGGAAACAAAUAAUGAGUCGUAAUUCACCACUCUUUUUCUCUCAAACUCUGUGAAUCCGACAUCUCAGUUAAAAUUAAAGAAAAAUGUGUUAUGUGGGGAAAGCAACAAAGAUCUUCCUCUUCCUACUCACUGCUGCUAUCAUCACUGCUCUCUUCCUAGGAUUCCGACAUUUCCGUCGUAGCAAGUCACACAAUUGUACUUCUGAUGUUAACGAUGAUCUUUCUUGCCACCUUACAGCUUCCAACCCGCCACCUCAGGCGUCUCCGUCGCUUCCAGCUACGACAAAUGCGCCACCACCGGCUACUGCUCCUCCACCUCCAGUGUUAGUCACUCCAGCUCCGCUUAAUUCGUCGUAGCUCCACCAGUUAGUAGUCAUCAAUCUACAUUUCUCCGAAUUGUCUUGUUAUUUUGUGAUCGCCUAUGAAAAGCUUUGUACUUUUAGUUGGAAAUGAAAGAUCGAUUAAAUCAUUCUAAAAAUGUUUCGGUUUUAUCGUUCCCA
rnacentral:lncRNA from 1 species